UCAAAACCGUUUUUAAUUUUUACAAAAGCAUAUGCAGAGGAGCAGUGCCGGAAUGGAGGAAGAAUAAUGAAUCAAUACUUGAGUAUAUGCGGAGGAUCCAGCAUCGGGAAGGAGGAAUAAUGAAUCAUCAUGCGCGUUGAGUUGGUCGAAGUUAAUGUACUACCAGAGAGAAACUGAGAGUGCUCAUGGAGCCGUUUUGGCGUCUCCCAUACUAGUGCUGCACCUUGCGGCCAACUGGGGAAGAUGGUCCACCUUUAGCAUGUAGCAGAACCUUUGUAGGAGAAAUCUACCCUGUUCGGUUCCACCGUAGCACAGGCCAGAAUCAGGGCCAGGUCCACCGUAGCAUAUACACAUUAUAGGCAGUACCAGGCAGUAUGAAGAUGGGAUAUAGGAAUAUAUAUAUAUGUCGAAUGGGAAUCGUUCGCUCGAGUGAUAGCCGCGGUAGCUUGGACGGACGAGCAAGUUAAUUAUGUCAAGUCGGGAGAUGUUUCUACUAAUUUAACAAUAUGUAACUUGAUUAUAUAAAAAUACAAAUUUUACUCGCAGAACCGCAGGUCAGGAAGUACACAGGGUAAUGAAAUUAAACGCAAGACAGAUUUAAUAUGAAAUUCGACAUUUAUUCAAUAAUUUUUUAUUAUAAACAUCGGUCCGCGGCCGCGUCUUAAAUCGACACUUUUAGCCGAGUGGAUGAAAUUUGUGUGCGUGCUGAUGCGUCAGUGAAGCGAAUUUUAAAUUCGGCCGUCUUCGGACAUCUUCGGAAAGAAGGUCGGAAACUUCGGUGCUGAUUGCGUGAAUCGAGCGCAUCUGAAAAUCACGGUCUCCUCUCCUCGAGGUUCGAAGUCUUCCAGGCUCGGCUCGGAGCCUUCGAAGCUCCGUGUGUUCGAAACCCAGG